GACGAACGCUGGCGGCGUGCUUAACACAUGCAAGUCGAACGGAAAGGCCCUGCUUUUGUGGUGUGCUCGAGUGGCGAACGGGUGAGUAACACGUGAGUAACCUGCCCUUGACUUUGGGAUAACUUCAGGAAACUGGGGCUAAUACCGGAUAGGAUCUCCUGCUGCAUGGUGGGGGGUGGAAAGUUUCGGCGGUUGGGGAUGGACGCGCGGCUGAUCAGCUUGUUGGUGGGGUAGUGGCUUACCAAGGCUUUGACGGGUAGCCGGCCUGAGAGGGUGACCGGCCACAUUGGGACUGAGAUAGGGCCCAGACUCCUACGGGAGGCAGCAGUGGGGAAUAUUGCACAAUGGGCGGAAGCCUGAUGCAGCAACGCCGCGUGCGGGAUGACGGCCUUCGGGUUGUAAACCGCUUUCGCCUGUGACGAAGCGUGAGUGACGGUAAUGGGUAAAGAAGCACCGGCUAACUACGUG
rnacentral:rRNA from 1 species